AGGUGUGUAGUUCAGUGGUAGAGCAUCUGUUUUGGAUGCAGAAGGUCCCAGGUGCAAUCCCUGGCACAUCCA